CGCGCCUUCCAUCUCAGAAUCAACACGUCAAAGGUGGUGGUGCCUCUACCUCACAAACACCCCCACAUCAAACCUCAAAAUCUCACCCCAAAACUGCACCAGGAAUCCAAAUCAAGCCUCGUGAUCGCCACGGUAAACGACCAGUCCACGAACCUCCUCAUGCCGUGAUACCUGUACCACUAAGACCAGAAGAGAGACUACCACCACGGGAUGCUCCAAACUCUUCCAAAAUACCAGUACUAUCAAGCCCCGAAGAGAAACGACCACCACGGAUCAAUCCAAACUCUGAUAAAAGACCGUUACUAUUAAGCCCUGAAGGUCAUCAACGAUCUCCACCACCACAACAACCACAAGCACCACGCGGUUACGCAACAUCAUUACCUCCAAUAGCCAAACCAACUCCAUGGAGAAACGCUCCAACACCAUCACCGCAUCGCCGUGGUGGCCACCGGACGCCACCACCUUCAAGAGACCAAACAAACACAGCCACAUGGUCAGCUGCAUUCUGCUGUGCCAUCUUCUGGAUCAUUCUUAUCCUCAGCGGUCUAGUCGUCCUAAUCGUCUACCUAGUGUACCGUCCACGCUCUCCUCACAUCGACAUCUCAGCCGCUAACUUAAACGCCGCUUAUCUCGACAUGGGGUUUCUUCUAAACGGAGACCUAACCAUGUUAGCAAACUUCACAAACCCAAACAAGAAAAGCAGUGUAGAGUUCAGCUCUUUGACGUUCGAGCUUUACUACUACAACACUCUUAUAGCGUCUCAGUACGUUGAGCCUUUUAAGGUUCCUAAGAAAAUGUCCAUGUUUGCGAAUGUUCAUCUCGUGAGUAGUCAAAAUCCAAAUCAAGCCUCGUGAUCGCCACGGUAAACGACCAGUCCAAGAACCUCCUCAUUCCGUGAUACCUGUACCACUAAGACCAGAAGAGAGACUACCACCACGGGAAACUCCAAACUCUUCCAAAAUACCAGUACUAUCAAGCCCUGAAGAGAAACGACCACCACGGAAAAACCCAAACUCUGCU
rnacentral:lncRNA from 1 species